rnacentral:rRNA from 1 species
AUGGGCAGGGGCGUGCUGGAGGUGCAUCUCGUCGACGCCAAGGGCCUCUUCGGCAGCGAUUUCCUAGGGAAGAUCGACCCGUAUGUGGUGGUGCAGUACCGGAGCCAGGAGCGCAAGAGCAGCACCUCCAGAGAUGAGGGGAGGAACCCGAGCUGGAACGAGGUGUUCCGGUUCCAGAUCAACUCCUCCGCGGCCAACGGGCAGCACAAGCUCUUCCUCCGGAUCAUGGACCACGAUAACUUCUCCAGCGACGACUUCCUCGGCCAAGCAACGAUCAAUGUGACUGAUCUGAUCACCCUUGGCAUGGAGAGCGGCUCGUCGCAGCAAAACCCGGCCAAGUACAGCGUCGUCUCCGCCGACAACUCGUACCACGGCGAGAUCAGAGUGGGCAUCUCGUUCACGGCCACCAAGGUCGAAGAAGACGGCGCGCAGGUCGGAGGCUGGAUGCACAGCUCUCGCGAGUAG